rnacentral:rRNA from 1 species
GUCGAACGGGGACUAGAUAGCAAUAUUUGGUUCUAGUGGCAAACGGGUGAGUAACACGUAGGGAUCUACCUUGGAGAGGGGAAUAACGGACCGAAAGGUUCGCUAAUACCGCAUGUGCUUGUGAAAGCAAAGGAACCAGCAAUGGUUUCGCUCUGAGAGGAGCCUGCGUUCGAUCAGGUAGUUGGUGAGGUAACGGCUCACCAAGCCGAUGACCGAUAGCUGUUCUGAGAGGAAGAUCAGCCACACUGGGACUGUGACACGGCCCAGACUCCUACGGGAGGCAGCAGCGAGGAAUAUUGCACAAUGGACGCAAGUCUGAUGCAGUAACGCCGCGUGGGGGAAGAAGACCUUCGGGUUGUAAACCUCUUUUAUUUAGGACGAGUGAGGACGGUACUAUUUGAAUAAGUCUCGGCUAACUACGUGCCAGCAGCCGCGGUAAGACGUAGGAGGCGAGCGUUAUCCGGAUUCACUGGGCGUAAAGCGCAUGUAGGCGGUUGGAUAAGUCUGUUGUUAAAGCCCCCGGCUCAACUGGGGGAGGUCAAUGGAGACUGUCCGACUUGAGGGCAACAGAGGCACAUGGAACUCCCGGUGUAGCGGUGGAAUGCGUAGAGAUCGGGAAGAACACCCGUGGCGAAGGCGGUGUGCUGGGUUGCAACUGACGCUGAGAUGCGAAAGUGUGGGGAGCAAACGGGAUUAGAUACCCCGGUAGUCCACACUGUAAACGAUGAACCCUAGGUGUGGGGGGAUAAAACCCUCUGUGCCGAAGCUAACG